GAUGAAGAACGCAGCGAAAUGCGAUAAGUAGUGUGAAUUGCAGAAUUCCGUGAAUCAUCGAAUCUUUGAACGCACAUUGCGCCUUCUGGUAUUCCGGAAGGCAUGCCUGUUCGAGAGUCAUUAACAACCGUUUCGAUCCCUUUCUUUCAGAAAUUACAAAGAGGAAAAGGGUUUGGUUAUGGUGGAGGAGGGAAAGGGAGCGUUUAGCCUGUAAAAAAAGAGGCUGUGUUCCGCCUCCCCCCCAAAAUUGUACAGGCGGUCGUGUGCGCCCACGCAUCGAGGUGUUGUAAACGCUGCCACGGCACUUUUCACCUGUGCAGUGCGAGAUUGGCCAGCCGGUUUAAAAACCCCUCCAAACAAUCAAAGGUUGACCUCGGAUCAGGUAGGGAUACCCGCUGAACUUAAGCAUAUCAAUAAGCGGAGGA
rnacentral:misc_RNA from 1 species